UUGAUUUGUACUGUUUUGUUUAAAGUAUUGUUUAUUUUCAAAUAAAGGUCAUAUCCAUUAGAGACUGUAUUACCUGGAAUAAAAAGACAGAGACUUGAUAGCACUCAAGUAAUGUCAAAUAAUCAGUUACAACCACUUCCUCCAGUAACACCUGCAUCUACAUCCAGAAUGUCAGCUGAUGACAAGGUUGAAAUCCUUCAAAUGCUGAGAGACGUCAAGAGCGAGGUUCAGCAAAACUCUACCAUGUUAAAAAUACUCAAAGACAAUACGGUUUCUGAAGCACCCAGCAGUACAUGCGUGCCUUCAAAAAACCCAAAACUGCCUCUUAGAACCACUGAAGAUGUGGCCAGGACUGAAAUGGAGCUCAAGAACGCAACAACACGCAAAAAAUAUGUAAAAUAUUUGUCAAGGCUUGGAGGUUUUAUGCCGAAGGAUGUGAUUAAGAAUAUUAUGCAGCAAGUCUUAACAGAUGAUCUGGCUAUGCAGUUCAACUGGCUGGGGAGAGGAGAUAAACAGGCCUUCUCUCAACUUAUGUUAACAGAUGUGAUCAGAGAUGCUGCAUUAACCCAAAAUGUAAACAGGGGUGACUGUGAAACUGAAAUAAAAAAAUAUCUGAGUUACGCAGCUGGUCGGAAGAAAAGAGAACAAGGAGGUCGUGGGCAUGAGAUUCCAAAUGUGAUUUCUACCUCAAUGAUGGACAACCAGCCAGAGAGGGAAAUACCUUGGAACAUUUUUGAUUAAAGGGGUCAUGUGAUGCGAUUUCAAGUUUUCCUUUCUCUUUGGAGUGUUACAAGCUGUUCGUGAAUAGAUAAGAUCCCUAAACUUGCAAAGACUAAAGUCUCAAACCCAAAGAGAUAUUCUUUAUAAAAGUUAAGACUGGUCCACGCCCUCCUUAAACGCCUCAUUUAAACAUGCCCCCACAUGUCUACAUCAUGAUGUGGGAAGCAUUGUAUAACGUUGCCCAAAUGUUCACGCAAAGAAAGAAGGCGUAACUUUAUUGUUGCUGCCGCAGCCGCCGCCAUGUUGUGAAGACGCUGUGUGUUUCAUUGCGAAAGCGAAAAUACUUUAUUUACAACACUGUUCCAGAACAGUUCAACCCAAAUAUUCAGAUGUGUGCAGUGCAUUUUAUGGAGGACUGUUUCCUGAUCCUGGUAGAGUAGACUACAAUGCCGGCUGUUCUGACUCACAGUCUGUAAGUACGUUUUCAUAUUUAAAGAAUUUGCCACUGACGAUUCAAACACGAGUUUUGAGCAGUGUAGAGUAGCGCUUGUUGUUUGUCAUUUCUCCGAUCACAAAUGCAGACAUGGUUUUAUGUUAAUGUUUAUGUUUACUAUAAAAGACAGUAUAAAGCCGCGUCACACUACAUUUUGAGCAUGCGAAAUUCGUUCGGACGCUGCAGCGAUCGUGGUAUGACGUCAUGCUCUGCAGUGUCUUUUAAAAAAUGUAUAUUCAACAAAUAAACAAUAAUAAUACACCUAAAAUGUAAAAACACAAUCUACUCCACUUUCCCGCAGCACUGCAGUUUUAGAUUUAUAUUCUUUUAAUUCAGAUAGGAGGUCAUGUGAUGUAUGUGACGCUGUGACGUAUCGAUCUGCUGUUGGUCACACGGUGUCACGUGAUGCGAAUUCGCAGGCCAGAGUUCACCAAGUUUGAAUUUUGGAACACAGCGAAAUGCGAAAACUUUUUGCACGGGCUUGUGUUUCCAGUCUGAUGCAUUCGCAUGGGUAUGAAUGGAAGUCAAUGGUUUGAAAAGUGUAAUGUGACCGCGGCUAAAGUCAUUAUAAUCCGAAAUUAUGUCCCCACUGGAUGCAACAAAUGCCUCGUUUAUAAUGGGUUUUAAUGUUUUUGUCUCAUCGCUCCGGGACACGGCAUUAGGGCUGUGCGAUUAAUCGAAAUCGAAUCAAAAUCGGGAUUUGAGACGUUGUGAUUUCCUAAUCGCAAAGCCUGCGAUAUGGACACGAUAUUACUCUGUUCUAGAGCAUAUGCAUGACUGCCAGUCUUGAGUUGCAGUCUUACUAACCAAUAGAGUGGGCGCACCUCCGUUCUCCCCAAUCAGCACUGCUCUAGCCAACUGCGUAAACACCCACCAUUAAUUCUUUUUUUUUUUAAAACACAGAAAGCGGGAGAGAGACAGAGUGGGAUUAUGGCGUCUACUGGGUCAGAUUGAUAGUUAGGCAAAUUAAAACUAAAGAAAAACGUAUGCAACUUAAGCUUCGAAAUGACAGACAAUGAACAAAAAAGGUAAUUUGCAAGAGCUGCGUCACAGCCCAUAUCAAAAGCUCCCUUAUCGGUUCUGUUUUCAGUACUGGAGAAUAAAAGUGAAUUUUGAUAGCAUAUU
rnacentral:lncRNA from 1 species